rnacentral:rRNA from 1 species
AAUGGGCGAGAGCCUGAACCAGCCAAGUAGCGUGAAGGAUGAAGGCUCUAUGGGUCGUAAACUUCUUUUAUAUGGGAAUAAAGUUUUCCACGUGUGGAAUUUUGUAUGUACCAUAUGAAUAAGGAUCGGCUAACUCCGUGCCAGCAGCCGCGGUAAUACGGAGGAUCCGAGCGUUAUCCGGAUUUAUUGGGUUUAAAGGGAGCGUAGGUGGAUUGUUAAGUCAGUUGUGAAAGUUUGCGGCUCAACCGUAAAAUUGCAGUUGAAACUGGCAGUCUUGAGUACAGUAGAGGUGGGCGGAAUUCGUGGUGUAGCGGUGAAAUGCUUAGAUAUCACGAAGAACUCCGAUUGCGAAGGCAGCUCACUAGACUGUUACUGACACUGAUGCUCGAAAGUGUGGGUAUCAAA